rnacentral:sRNA from 1 species
UGCUGAGCGAGACCACCUUGGCCCAGCCCCAGAGCCUGGAGAGGCACAAGGAACAGCUGCUGGCUGCGGAGCCCGUGCGCGCCAAGCUGGACCGGCAGCGCCGUGUCUUCCAGCCCUCGCCCCUGGCCUCGCAGUUCGAACUGCCCGGGGACUUCUUCAACCUCACAGCAGAGGAGAUCAAGCGGGAGCAGAGGCUCAGGUCCGACGCGGUGGAGCGGCUGAGUGUGCUUCGGACCAAGGCCAUGCGGGAGAAGGAGGAGCAGCGGGGGCUGCGCAAGUACACCUACACACUGCUGCGCGUGCGCCUCCCCGAUGGCUGCCUCCUGCAGGGUGGGCACCGGUGAUGCCCGGGGAGGGCGGCUCGGGUUGGUAGGGGGCCCUGGGCCCCACCCGCUCUGACUCCCCCACUCCCCAGGGACCUUCUACGCCCGGGAGCGGCUGGGGGCGGUGUACGGGUUCGUCCGGGAGGCCCUGCAGAGCGACUGGCUGCCUUUUGAGCUGCUGGCCUCGGGAGGGCAGAAGCUGUCCGAGGACGAGAACCUGGCCUUGAACGAGUGCGGGCUGGUGCCCUCUGCCCUCCUGACCUUCUCGUGGGACAUGGCUGUGCUGGAGGACAUCAAGGCCGCGGGGGCCGAGCCGGACUCCAUCCUGAAACCCGAGCUCCUGUCAGCCAUCGAGAAGCUCUCGUGAAAUAAAAGCAGGGUUGGCCUCA